GUCAGCCCUGGGCCUUUGUGCUCUUUCCAGCUGAAGCAGGAGCAGAGCAGAGCUGAAGAAUAUGUGUGUCAGAGCCUGCUUUACCUGCAGCACACUCAGGUCAGCGUGCGCCUGGCAGCCGUGAGGUUCAUCGGGCUGGCCGCGCGGUGCCUGAAGGACAACAGUGAGACCACGCUGCAGGAUGUCUGCAAAGCCCUCCAUCAUUUGAGAAGAGAUGAGGAAUCCCAGGUCUCAUGCCUGGCAUCUCAGACAAUACACAUCCUCACCUGUUCCCGAAUGCAGGCAAGACAGGGAUGGAUCCGGCGGACGCUGUGCUGCUGCCUCUGAAAAGCCAGGCAGCAGUUAAGCCCUGCUUAAGAAAAUGGGUCUUUUUGAUUAAAGUUCUAACCACAAUUCCAAGGCCAUGGUGUCCUUCACACUCAGCGCGGAAAGGCCAGUCAGGAGCUGCUGGACAGCGGUUGCGCCCCAACCGCCCUCAUCUGCCCAGCCAUGGUCACUGGGAGCACCACUGCCAGAGUGCACAAAAGUCAGGGCCACACCUCCACAGUUUCUCUGAGCAUCCUGUUCCAUUGCCUCACAACCCCCUCCACUGCAGGCACCCCCUUCAGCCACUCCAUCUGAGUGAAGGCAUUGGCCACCACCAACAUAGAUGGUGUAGGUCACCCCUGCUGGAGCUGCAGCCUUUGCUCUCCGAUAAGUGCCCACCUUUCUUCCUUAAGGGUUACAUGGCAUGUGUGCCCUGACCUGUGUAGGCAGCCUUGGAAUGUCUCUCCUUCCAAGAGGUGCCUGCCCUCCCUGCACACCCUUCUAUGCCCUGUUCUCUGUGUUCCCAGCACUGCCUUUUGCAGGAUCUUAGAGUGGCCCCACCCAGUUCCCAGCAGGUCUUGGAGCUCGUGUGGGUUUCCCUGGCUCAAGAAAACUCCACUGUAUGGCACUGUCUGCCGUGAGCCCCUGAUCCACUGAGGA